rnacentral:rRNA from 1 species
UACGAAGGGGGCUAGCGUUGUUCGGAAUUACUGGGCGUAAAGCGCGCGUAGGCGGCUUUGCAAGUCGGGUGUGAAAUCCCCAGGCUUAACCUGGGAACUGCAUUCGAGACUGCAUUGCUAGAGUAUGGGAGAGGGAAGUGGAAUUUCCGGUGUAGCGGUGAAAUGCGUAGAGAUCGGGAGGAAGGCCGGUGGCGAAGGCGGCGCUCUGGAACGUACCUGACGCUGAGACACGAAAGCGUGGGGAGCAAACAGG